ensembl:lncRNA
UACAGACAUAUUGACCUGGUUUCAUGGUCACAUGACAGGUCAGAGGUCAGCGACUGUAACUCAGUUCCUCCUGUUAAUGUGAACUCACUGAGUGUUUGUGGUUUACCUCUCAGAUUGACUGAAGAUGAUGAUGGAGGAAGAGGAGGACAGAGCAGAGUCUGCAGUGUCCAGCUGUCCGUCUGUGAGGAGCGACCGGUCCAAAGGUCUAAAUCCAGACUUCAGUGGUGAACCUGGAGCAACGAGAGGUCAGAGGUCACAGUCUGCAGGGUCCAGCUGUCCAUCUGUGAGGAGUGACCGGUCCAAACGUAGCAAUCCACUCUUCAGUGGUGAACCUGGAGCAACGAGUCUGAGAGGUCACACAGAGACCCAGCAGCUAAAGCCUGGAUCAUACUGGCUGCUGUUACUCCAUCAGGACAACACUGAACCACAGUGGUGUGGAUGUAGUGGAUAAAUCCCACCAUACUGAUGCUCAGAGUUAACCACAGGGAACAAAACCAGAUGUUACCUUCAGAUUGUGACCUUUGGAGUGGACGAUGCAG